AGAGUUUGAUCAUGGCUCAGAUUGAACGCUGGCGGUAUGCUUAACACAUGCAAGUCGAACGGUAGCAGGCCUUCGGGCGCUGACGAGUGGCGGACGGGUGAGUAACGCGUAGGAAUCUGCCUCAUAGUGGGGGACAACGUGGGGAAACUCACGCUAAUACCGCAUACGCCCUACGGGGGAAAGGAGGGGAUCUUCGGACCUUUCGCUAUGAGAUGAGCCUGCGUUAGAUUAGCUAGUUGGUAGGGUAAAGGCCUACCAAGGCGACGAUCUAUAGCUGGUCUGAGAGGACGAUCAGCCACACUGGGACUGAGACACGGCCCAGACUCCUACGGGAGGCAGCAGUGGGGAAUAUUGGACAAUGAGCGAAAGCCUGAUCCAGCAAUACCGCGUGUGUGAAGAAGGCCUUAGGGUUGUAAAGCACUUUCAAUUGGGAGGAAAACCUGCCGGUCAAUACCCGGUAGCUUGACAUUACCUUUAGAAGAAGCACCGGCUAACUCCGUGCCAGCAGCCGCGGUAAUACGGAGGGUGCGAGCGUUAAUCGGAAUUACUGGGCGUAAAGCGUGCGUAGGCGGUUCGUUAAGUCAGAUGUGAAAGCCCUGGGCUCAACCUGGGAACUGCAUUUGAAACUGGCGGACUAGAGUUUAGUAGAGGGGAGUGGAAUUUCAGGUGUAGCGGUGAAAUGCGUAGAUAUCUGAAGGAACACCAGUGGCGAAGGCGACUCCCUGGACUAGAACUGACGCUGAGGUACGAAAGCGUGGGUAGCAAACAGGAUUAGAUACC
rnacentral:rRNA from 1 species